AAUUAGUAAUUUACUUAAUUUUUUGUAGGGUAAUUGAUUUAUUAAUAAAAUUAUUUUUAUUAAUUAGAGUUUUUGUAUAGAUUAUAAAUAAAAUUUUUUUUGUGAUAGUUUACUUGUAUUGUGAAAGGUUAUUGAAAUAUAUGAAAGAUUGAUUUAUAAUAAAGUAGAUUUUAUUUAUUGUACCUUGUGUAUCAGGGUUUAUUAAAAGUUUUUUAAUAAUUUUAAAGAUCCCGAUUUAAAGAGAGCUAAAAUUAAUUGUUAGUUAAUGUGGAAUAAUUAUUGAUAAAUUAAUUUUAGUAAUGAAACGUUAUUCGUUCUUUAAUAUAUCUGGUUUUUCAAGAAAUGAAUUUAAUUUAGCUAUUGAUUUGAUUUUUUUUAUUGUAGUAAGAAUAAUUAUUUUGAUGGUAAUAUUUUGGGGGAUAAGCUUCAAGAUAUAGUUUAUAAGAAUUAUUGUAGGAAUAAAUAUUUUGUAGGCUUAGAAGUAGCCAUCUAAUGAGGAUGUUAUAAUUAAUUUUUAUUGUUAUUUAAUUUUUAAUGUAUUUAAAUUAUGUAUUGAAAUGGAAGUUAGAACUUUUAAAAUUUAGUAAUAAUGAUGAAAUUAGUAUAAAUGUAUAGUUAUUAAUAAUAAAUUAUUUGAAAGGUUAUAAUAAGGAAUUAGGCAAAUUAGUGCUCGCCUGUUUAACAAAAACAUGUCCUCUAAGAGUAUAAUUAGAGGUCUGACCUGCCCGCUGAGUUUAAUCUUGAAGGGCCGCGGUAUUUUGACCGUGCAAAGGUAGCAUAAUCAUUAGUCUUUUAAUUGAAGGCUAGAAUGAAGGGUUGGACGAGGUACUGACUGUCUCAAUGUAAUUGAAAUUAGAAUUUAACUUUUAAGUUAAAAGGCUUAAAUAUUUUUAAAGGACGAGAAGACCCUAUAGAGCUUUAUAUUUUUAGCUUUAUUUAAAUUUGGUUGUUUGAUUAUAUUAACGUGAUUAAGUAUUUUGUUGGGGUGAUAGGAAGAUAAAUUAAACUCUUUUUUGUGUUGACCACUGAUUUGUGAUUUAUUGAUCCAGUAUUAUUGAUUAUAAGACUAAGUUACCUUAGGGAUAACAGCGUAAUCCUUUUUGAGAGUUCUUAUCGACAAAGGGGGUUGCGACCUCGAUGUUGGAUUAAGGUAAAUUUUAGGUGUAGAUGUUUAAAGUUUAAGUCUGUUCGACUUUUAAAUCCUUACAUGAUCUGAGUUCAGACCGGCGUAAGCCAGGUCGGUUUCUAUCCUUAAAUGAUGAAAAUAUUUUAGUACGAAAGGACCAAGUAUUGAAAAUAAAGUUUUUUGAGAAAUAGAUUAAUAUUAAU
rnacentral:rRNA from 1 species